rnacentral:rRNA from 1 species
UGGUGGAGUGAUUUGUCUGGUUAAUUCCGUUAACGAACGAGACCUCGACCUGCUAAAUAGUUUGGCGAAUUCUCCGGGAUUCGUUUACGACUUCUUAGAGGGACUAUCGGUGAUUUAGCCGACGGAAGUUCGAGGCAAUAACA